rnacentral:lncRNA from 1 species
AUGUGGGAUGCCAUCAAAUACACCGAAGAUACUCGCCGGAAAACUAUUACGGCGAUGGACGUCAUUUAUGCUUUGAAGUGCCAAGGAUUGGUGUAUUUAGAGAUUUAAUGGUGCUCUUAUUGAGCAGCACCAUAUAUUUGUUGGUGCUCUCUAAAAAUGCUCUCAAAAAGGCAUAAAUCCUAGAACCAAUAAACUGCCUUUUGUACUAGUGUACGUACCUUGCAUUUGUAUGGUUCCAUAAUAGCUACAUCCGGUAACAUCCAAUACCUCCAAGUUUUUCAAAGCGGACAGUUCGGAAAUAUCUACAAAAGUGUACGAGCGUUGAACUUAGAACAUGAAUGCGUAUUAUAAAAAAGUUAUUAAGGUGGAAAGACAAACAACAUGCCAUGAGGAAGUGGGUAUUGGUUAUCUCCAUAAAGUAAAUUUCCUCCAUGAAACCUGUGGUCGCAAUCAUAUCGUCAAGAUCAUUAUAUGACAAAUCGAGACUUCUCAACUCUUUAAAACGA